rnacentral:rRNA from 1 species
AAAGCGGCAGACGGGUGAGUAACGCGUGAAUAAUCAACCCUGUACAAAGGGAUAGCCUCGGGAAACCGGGAUUAAUACCAUAUGAAGUAUAUUAAUCGCACGAUAGAUAUAUUAAAACUUUGGUGGUACAGGACGAGUUCGCGUCCCAUUAGCUAGUUGGUGAGAUAAAAGCUUACCAAGGCGACGAUGGGUAGCCGGCCUGAGAGGGUGAACGGCCACACUGGAACUGAGACACGGUCCAGACUCCUACGGGAGGCAGCAGUGGGGAAUAUUGCACAAUGGAGGAAACUCUGAUGCAGCGACGCCGCGUGAGCGAAGAAGGCUUUCGAGUCGUAAAGCUCUGUCCUAAGAGAAGAAGAAGUGACGGUAACUUAGGAGGAAGCCCCGGCUAACUACGUGCCAGCAGCCGCGGUAAUACGUAGGGGGCUAGCGUUGUCCGGAAUUACUGGGCGUAAAGGGUGAGUAGGUGGUCAUUAAAGUCAGAUGUCAAAGGCAAUGGCUCAACCAUUGUAAGCAUAUGAAACUUAAUGACUUGAGUGCAGGAGAGUUAUAUGGAAUUCCUAGGUGUAGCGGUGAAAUGCGUAGAUAUUAGGAAGUACACCAGUGGCGAUAGGCGAUUUACUGGACUGUAACUGACACUGAUUCACGAAAGCGUGGGGAGCGAACAGGAUUACAUACCCUGGUAGUCCACGCUGUAUACGAUGUAGUGCUAGGUGUCGGCAAGAGAUUGUCGGUGCCGCAGUUAACGCAUUAAGCACUCCGCAUGGGGAGGACGAUCGCAAGACGGAGACUCAAAGGAAGCGACGGGGACCCGCACAAGCAGCGGAG